rnacentral:rRNA from 1 species
AACGUAGGUACCGAGCGUUAUCCGGAUUUACUGGGCGUAAAGCGCGUUCAGGCGGUCUGGCAAGUCGAGCAUGAAAUCUCUCGGCUCAACCGGGAGAGGCUGUUCGAUACUUUCAGACUUGAGGGCAGUAGAGGAGGGUGGAAUUCCGGGUGUAGUGGUGAAAUGCGUAGAUAUCCGGAGGAACACCAGUGGCGAAAGCGGCCCUCUGGGCUGCUCCUGACGCUAAAACGCGAAAGCUAGGGGAGCGAACGGG